rnacentral:rRNA from 1 species
CCUACGGGAGGCAGCAGUAGGGAAUAUUGCUCAAUGGGGGAAACCCUGAAGCAGCAACGCCGCGUGGAUGAUGAAGGUUUUAGGAUUGUAAACCCCUGUUGUUAGAGAAGAUAGUGACGGUAUGUAACGAAUAAGGACCGGCUAACUACGUGCCAGCAGCCGCGGGCAUACGGAGGGUGCAAGCGUGAGGCGGAAUGACUGGGCGUAAAGAGAGCGGAGGCGGGCUUGUAAGUCAGAUGUGAAAUCCUGUGGCUUAACUAGAGAACUGCAUUUGAAACUGUGAGUCUAGAGUGUGGGAGAGGUAGGUGGAACUCUUGGUGUAGGGGUGAAAUGCGUAGAUAUAAAGAGGAAUACUAGUUGCGAAGGCGGCCCACUGG